AUGUCAUUUUUUACAAUUUUUGGAGAGCCAGCUCACUUUGUUGGAACUUGUCCAGUGCCAAAAAAAUGCUUCAUAUGCCACAAGGCUGGACACCAUAUGGAUAACUACUUGGAGUGGUGUAAACCUCAAGCCACUGCCCAAUACUAUGGCAGUGCCAAUGCUGGGCUGGGAUUCUUUCACAUAGAAUCUGAUGAUAAAGAGGUAGUUAAAUGGCUGAACAUGACCAAUGUGUGUGUUGCUGUGAUUGAGGAAGGUUCUAUCACCUCCCAAGAACUGAGAAACAACUUUUCUGAAAUAUGGAAGACCAAUUGGCCAUGGCAAGUGAGGCAGUUAACUGAGAAACAUUUCCUGGUUAGGUUUCCACCUCACAAAAAAUUAAAGGAUUUGGUUGAGCUCCCCUCCAUCAAUCUCAAAAAAGGGGGUAACUGUUUCUUUUGA
rnacentral:rRNA from 1 species